rnacentral:rRNA from 1 species
CCGGAGACGGGCGAACCGGCGGGGCGCUGCGCCCGUCCGCGACACAAGUCUUUAACGACUCUCGGCAACGGAUAUCUCGGCUCUCGCAUCGAUGAAGAACGUAGCGAAAUGCGAUACUUGGUGUGAAUUGCAGAAUCCCGUGAACCAUCGAGUCUUUGAACGCAAGUUGCGCCCGAAGCCGUCAGGCCGAGGGCACGUCUGCCUGGGCGUCACACA